CUUAGAGCCGUCCACAUCUUUUAUACUUUUUUUGAUCAGUUUUAUUUUUAUUUAAUUGUUUCUAAAUACAAUUGUAUUAAAAAUAAUUUACAGACAUUGAGCUGUCCACCUUUUUUAGAUUUGUAAAUUUUUUUAAAAUUUUAAAUAGUAAAAAAAAAGACUGAAAAGAGCGAGAAAUCUUUAGACGUACGAAUGUUCCAGAAGCUGCAUAUCAAAGAAGAGAAUCAUAAUACCAG